AGCGAACGUUAGCGGCGGGCCUAACACAUGCAAGUCGAGCGAGAAAGUGGCUUCGGCCAUCAGUAAAGCGGCGGACGGGUGAGUAACACGUAGGUAAUCUUCCCUUGAGCGGGGGACAACGAGCCGAAAGGCUCGCUAAUACCGCAUAAGUUUCCAGAGACUCUGGUCUUUGGAAGGAAAGCUAGGCCGCAAGGUCCGGCACUCGAGGAGGAGCCUGCGUCGCAUCAGCUAGUUGGGGGGUAAUGGCCUACCAAGGCGAAGACGCGUAGCUGGUCUGAGAGGAUGAUCAGCCACACUGGGACUGAGACACGGCCCAGACUCCUACGGGAGGCAGCAGUGGGGAAUAUUGGACAAUGGGCGCAAGCCUGAUCCAGCCACGCCGCGUGAGUGAUGAAGGCCU
rnacentral:rRNA from 1 species